rnacentral:rRNA from 1 species
GAUGAACGCUGGCGGCGUGCCUAAUACAUGCAAGUCGAGCGAACAGACGAGGAGCUUGCUCCUCUGACGUUAGCGGCGGACGGGUGAGUAACACGUGGAUAACCUACCUAUAAGACUGGGAUAACUUCGGGAAACCGGAGCUAAUACCGGAUAAUAUAUUGAACCGCAUGGUUCAAUAGUGAAAGACGGUUUUGCUGUCACUUAUAGAUGGAUCCGCGCCGCAUUAGCUAGUUGGUAAGGUAACGGCUUACCAAGGCAACGAUGCGUAGCCGACCUGAGAGGGUGAUAGGCCACACUGGAACUGAGACACGGUCCAGACUCCUACGGGAGGCAGCAGUAGGGAAUCUUCCGAAAUGGGCGAAAGCCUGACGGAGCAACGCCGCGUGAGUGAUGAAGGUCUUCGGAUCGUAAAACUCUGUUAUUAGGGAAGAACAAAUGUGUAAGUAACUAUGCACGUCUUGACGGUACCUAAUCAGAAAGCCACGGCUAACUACGUG